GAUGAAGAACGUAGCGAAAUGCGAUACGUAGUGUGAAUUGCAGAAUUCCGUGAAUCAUCGAAUCUUUGAACGCAUAUUGCGCCCGAGGCCUCUGGCCAAGGGCAUGUCUGCCUCAGCGUCGGGUUAAUACUCGCCCCCUCUUCUCAUUUAUGAGUAGAACGGGCGGAUCUAGCCGUUCCAGUGAUCAUUUGAGAGCUGGAUCAGCCGAAGAACAGAGGCUAACCAAGGACCCGUCAAGGGCCGCAACUGGGUGGGCAGCUCACGCUUGCUAUAUCAUCUUGGUUGUUGGUCUGGGACUUUGUUGUUCGGCCCAAAACAGGAAAACCCACAUUCAUUAUCUCGACCUGAGCUCAGGCAUGAACACCCGCUGAACUUAAGCAUAUCAAUAAGCGGAGGA
rnacentral:misc_RNA from 1 species